GGAUGAACGCUAGCGGGAGGCCUAACACAUGCAAGCCGAGCGGUAGAGUUCCUUCGGGAACUUGAGAGCGGCGUACGGGUGAGGAACACGUGUGCAACCUGCCUUUAUCUGGGAGAUAGCCCUCCGAAAGGGGGAUUAAUAUUCCAUAAUAUAUCARUUGGCAUCAAUUGAUAUUGAAAGCUCCGGCGGAUAGAGAUGGGCACGCGCAAGAUUAGAUAGUUGGUGAGGUAACGGCUCACCAAGUCURCGAUCUUUAGGGGGCCUGAGAGGGUGAUCCCCCACACUGGUACUGAGACACGGACCAGACUCCUACGGGAGGCAGCAGUGAGGAAUAUUGGACAAUGGGUGCAAGCCUGAUCCAGCCAUCCCGCGUGAAGGAUUAAGGUCCUAUGGAUUGUAAACUUCUUUUAUACAGGGAUAAACCUACUUACGUGUAAGUAGCUGAAGGUACUGUAUGAAUAAGCACCGGCUAACUCCGU
rnacentral:rRNA from 1 species